rnacentral:rRNA from 1 species
AUUGAACGCUGGCGGCAGGCCUAACACAUGCAAGUCGAGCGAGCGGCGGACGGGUGAGUAAUGUCUGGGAAACUGCCUGAUGGAGGGGGAUAACUACUGGAAACGGUAGCUAAUACCGCAUACCAUCAGAUGGGCCCAGAUGGGAUUAGCUCGUGGGUGGGGUAACGGCUCACCUAGGCGACGAUCCCUAGCUGGUCUGAGAGGAUGACCAGCCACACUGGGACUGAGACACGGUCGCGACUCCUACGGGAGGCAGCAGUGGGGAAGAUUGCACAGUGGGCGCAAGCCUGAUGCAGCCAUGCCGCGUGUGUGAAGAAGGCCUUCGGGUUGUAAAGCACUUUCAGCGGGGAGGCGUUACCCGCAGAAGAAGCACCGGCUAACUCCGUGCCAGCAGCCGCGGUAAUUC